rnacentral:rRNA from 1 species
AUUGAACGCUGGCGGCAGGCCUAACACAUGCCAGUCGAACGGUAACAGGAAGCAGCUUGCUGCUUUGCUGACGAGUGGCGGACGGGUGAGUAAUGUCUGGGAAACUGCCUGAUGGAGGGGGAUAACUACUGGAAACGGUAGCUAAUACCGCAUAACGUCGCAAGACCAAAGGGGGGGACCUUCGGGCCUCUUGCCAUCGGAUGUGCCCAGAUGGGAUUAGCUAGUAGGUGGGGUAACGGCUCACCUAGGCGACGAUCCCUAGCUGGUCUGAGAGGAUGACCAGCCACACUGGAACUGAGACACGGUCCAGACUCCUACGGGAGGCAGCAGUGGGGAAUAUUGCACAAUGGGCGCAAGCCUGAUGCAGCCAUGCCGCGUGUAUGAAGAAGGCCUUCGGGUUGUAAAGUACUUUCAGCGGGGAGGAAGGGAGUAAAGUUAAUACCUUUGCUCAUUGACGUUACCCGCAGAAGAAGCACCGGCUAACUCCGUG